rnacentral:RNase_P_RNA from 1 species
UGAGUUUGUUAUACGGUCGCGGGAUCUUUUAGAUCAUGAGGAAAGUCCGAGCAGCAUAGGACAGGGUGCCUGAUAACGUCAGGCAAGGGUGACCUUCGGGAUAGUGCAACAGAAAUAAACCGCCGUAUUUUUACGGUAAGGAUGGAAAGGCGAGGUAAGAGCUCACCGAUAUCGUGGUAACACGAUAUGCCAUGUAAACCCCACUCGCUGCAAGAUUGGGCUUCCGUCAAUAGGGCUGUCCGUCCGACGGAAGCUGUGAAUAUCGCUUGAACUUAUCGGUGACGGUAAGGCUAGAUAAAUGACCGUACACGACAGAACUCGGCUUACAGACAGACUCAAAUC